rnacentral:rRNA from 1 species
AGCGAACGCUGGCGGCAUGCCUAACACAUGCAAGUCGAACGAGACCUUCGGGUCUAGUGGCGCACGGGUGCGUAACGCGUGGGAACCUGCCCUUAGGUUCGGAAUAACUCCCCGAAAGGGGUGCUAAUACCGGAUAAUGUCUUCGGACCAAAGAUUUAUCGCCUUUGGAUGGGCCCGCGUUGGAUUAGCUAGUUGGUAGGGUAAAAGCCUACCAAGGCGACGAUCCAUAGCUGGUCUGAGAGGAUGAUCAGCCACACUGGGACUGAGACACGGCCCAGACUCCUACGGGAGGCAGCAGUGGGGAAUAUUGGACAAUGGGCGAAAGCCUGAUCCAGCAAUGUCGCGUGAGUGAUGAAGGCCUUAGGGUUGUAAAGCUCUUUUACCCGGGAUGAUAAUGACAGUACCGGGAGAAUAAGCUCCGGCUAACUCCGUG